CCCUUAGAUGUUCUGGGCCGCACGCGCGCUACACUGAUGCGUUCAACGAGUUUAGAACCUUGACUGAUAGGUCUGGGUAAUCUUUUGAAUGCGCAUCGUGCUAGGGAUAGAUUAUUGCAAUUAUUAAUCUUGAACGAGGAAUUCCUAGUAAACGCAAGUCAUCAGCUUGCAUUGAUUACGUCCCUGCCCUUUGUACACACCGCCCGUCGCUACUACCGAUUGAACGUUUUAGUGAGGCAUUUGGACCGACGCAUCUCAGUUUAACCGCUGGUUUGUGUUGGAAAGACUUCCAAACUUGAGCGUUUAGAGGAAGUAAAAGUCGUAACA
rnacentral:rRNA from 1 species